GCCGAGCGAAGCGAGACAGCAACGCGAACGCGUUGACCCGAAGGGCGAGGCCAACGGCCGAGUCAUCCCGCACGACCCACCA
rnacentral:sRNA from 1 species